rnacentral:tRNA from 1 species
CAAAUUAUUCUUAAGGAGAAUUUUCAUUUACACUGAAAUAAUGGUUGUGCAAUUCAAUCUAAUUUGA